rnacentral:rRNA from 1 species
CAGUCGCCACGGUAAUACGAGGGGUGCAAGCGUUAUUCGGAUUGAUUGGGUGUAAAGGGUGUGCAGACGGCUUAUUAAGUCACUUGUUAAAUUCUUCGGCCUAACUGAAGGUCUGCAAGUGAUACUGAUGAGCUAGAGGGUGGAAGAGAGAAGUGGAAUUCUCGGAGUAGCGGUAAAAUGCGUAGAUCUCGAGAGGAACACCAAUGGCGGAGGCAGCUUCUUGGUCCAUUCCUGACGUUCAUACACGAAAGCGCGGGGAGCAAACAGGAUUAGAUACCCGAGUAGUCCCUGUCUCUUAUAA